GAAAAUUCCUGUCGUGUAUCUCCUCCAGAGCCUCCAGAUACAACAGACAGACUGAUGUGAGCUGAACCUUGGAAUUUGACUUGAAGUGGGCUGGUCUUGGCAUUCUUUACUUCAGGCUGCUGAGGCAGCACUCGUGAGGAAACUUUGUCAUUGUACCUCGAGGGGAGUGGGAUUUCCUUGAGAAACACCUAUGAGGUCAUACUUGGGCCGUGCCGGACAAAGAACUCUCCCCAGAGGAACACGCUGUCCGAACAAGCACAACCACUACUUGACAUUGUCCUCAAAACAUAUACAGCUCGAAGAACAUUAUAUGAAAGGACGUUCCUCGGACACCCAUUGAGCUGUGGGACCUGAGCUGUCAGACAGGUUAAUGGACCAAGAGCACAUAAGAUUGAGUCCAGAAGAACAGAAAGACUGCCAGAGACCGCUACCAUCCCCUAAAGGAUGAAGAUGAGAUGAAGUGGGAGGGGCCAUGGCAUACAUCCCACCAGAGGAGCUGUGAUUGGACGAGCUGUGAGAAUGGGAGUGGCUUCUAGACUGAUCCCCUGAUUAACAAAAACAAAUUUAAGUGCGUGUAAGAGUCGUCGAUCACCAGCUCGCCGGCCUCCAGUUCGCCUCCAGACGAUGAGCUGUCUCCUCUCGCCCCGCCGAAAGAGCCGCCAUAAUGACCUAAUACAAUAAAAACCUGCUUAGGACGUGUUUGAUGCGGCGCAUAAGCAUAACACAUUUAAAUAUGCAAAGUUGCAACAUUCUUAGGCAACGGCUCUCGACUGUGCUGUUUCUUCUUUGGUGGCUUUGAUGAUCUGUCUUUCUCCUUCUCCUUCUUCAUCACUACUUUCUUCGAGCCGGA